AAAAUACAUUGAAAUGAAGAAGUGGUGAAAGAGGACAACCUUGUCUUGUUCUUGAUCUUAGUGGGAAAUAUUUUAGUUUUUGCCCAUUGAGUAUGAUGUUGUCUGUGGUUCUCUCAUAUAUGUCCUUAUUAUGUUAUGGAAUGCUUCCUCUAUUCCCACUUUGGUAAGAGUUUUUAUCAUUAAUGGGUGCUGUACCUUAUCAAAUGCUUUUUUCCGCAUAUAUGGAUAUAAUCAGGUGAUUUUUGUCUUUU